AAAUUGAAGAGUUUGAUCAUGGCUCAGAUUGAACGCUGGCGGCAGGCCUAACACAUGCAAGUCGAACGGUAACAGGAAGCAGCUUGCUGCUUCGCUGACGAGUGGCGGACGGGUGAGUAAUGUCUGGGAAACUGCCUGAUGGAGGGGGAUAACUACUGGAAAUGGUGGCUAAUACCGCAUAACGUCGCAAGACCAAAGAGGGGGACCUUCGGGCCUCUUGCCAUCAGAUGUGCCCAGAUGGGAUUAGCUUGUUGGUGAGGUAACGGCUCACCAAGGCGACGAUCCCUAGCUGGUCUGAGAGGAUGACCAGCCACACUGGAACUGAGACACGGUCCAGACUCCUACGGGAGGCAGCAGUGGGGAAUAUUGCACAAUGGGCGCAAGCCUGAUGCAGCCAUGCCGCGUGUAUGAAGAAGGCCUUCGGGUUGUAAAGUACUUUCAGCGGGGAGGAAGGUGUUGUGGUUAAUAACC
rnacentral:rRNA from 1 species